rnacentral:other from 1 species
CACAGGACGCUAGUUGUGAACAAGGUGCGAAGAGCCUACUGAGCUACUAGAGAGUCCUCCGGCCCCUGAAUGCGGCUAAUCCCAACCACGGAGCGGGUGCUCACAAGCCAGUGAGUUGCCUGUCGUAAGGCGUAAGUCUGUGGCGGAACCGACUACUUUGGGUGUCCGUGUUUCUAUUUAUCUCAUAUAUGGCUGCUUAUGGUGACAAUCAUUGAUUGUUAUCAUAAAGCGAGUUGGAUUGGCCAUCCGGUG